UAUGUAGGUGGCCUCGUAAGUCGGAUGUGAAAGCCUUUGGCUCAACCAAGAACUGCAUUCGAUACUGCUCGGCUUGAGUUUCGAAGAGGAGAGUGGAAUUCCUAGUGUAAGAGUGAAAUCUGUAGAUAUUAGGAGGAACACCAAUGGCGAAAGCAACUCUCUGGUCGAAAACUGACACUGAAAUACGAAAGCUAGGGGAGCAAACAGGAUUAGAUACCCUGGUAGUCC
rnacentral:rRNA from 1 species